UGAAUUAGACUAUUCUGGGUGUCUCCUAUAAUUGGCCUCACACAAUAUUUGCCCUUUUGUGUCUGGCUAAUUUCAGUUAGCAUAAUGUUUCCAAGGUUAAUUCAUGUCAUAAGCAUGUAUUGGUACUUCAUUCUUUUUCAUCAGUGAAUGAUAUUUUAUUGUAUGGAUAUUUCACAUUUUGUAUAUGUAUCAAUUGAUGGACAUUUGGGUUAUUUCUACUUUUUGGCUAUUAUGAAUAGUGCUUCUAUGAACAUUCAUGUACAAGUUUUUGUGUGUACAUAUGUUUUCCACAUAUUUCUCUUGGAUAGAUGCCUAGGAGUAGAGUUGCUGGGUCAUAUAGGAAGCCUAUGUUUAACAUUUUGAGGAACUGAAAACCCAUUUUCUAAAGUGCUUGCAACAUUGUACAGUCCCACUAGCAAUGUCUGAGGGUUUCAAUUUCUCCACAUCUUCAACAACAUCUGUUAUUAUCGAUCUUUUUCAUUACAGCGAUUCCAGGAUGUAUUAGCUUGAGCUGCAGUAACAAAAUACCAUAGAUUGGCUGGGCAUGGUGGUUUACACCAGUAAUCCCAGCACUUUGGGAGACCGAAGUGGGUGGAUCACCUGAGGUCAGGAGUUCAAGACCAGCCUGGCUAACCUGGAGAAACCCUGUCUCUACUAAAAAUACAAAAAAAAUUAGCCAGGUGUGGUGGCACACACCUGUAAUCCCAGCCACUCAGGAGGCUGAGGCAGGAGGAUUGGUUGAACCCGGGAGACGAGACGGAGGUUGCAGUGAGCUAAGAUCACACCACUGAACUCCAGCCUGGGUGACACAGCAAGACUCCACCUUAAAAAAACCAAAACGAAACAAAAAAACAAAAACAAAAAAACACCAUAGACUGGGUGGCUUAGACAGGAAUUUCUCACUUCACUGUUCUGGAGGUUAGGACGUCCAAGAUCAAGGUGCCAGACGGUUUGACUCCAGAUGAGGGCUCUCUUCUUGCAGGACCCUAUCCUUAUGACCUCAUUUACCCUAAUUACUUUCAUAAAGGCUCUAUCUCCAAAUACUAUCUCAUUGGGGGUUCAACACAUGAAUUUUAUGGGGCCACAAUAUGUAGACCAUAACAUAGAAAGCCAUUCAUAUAUCUUCUUAGGAGAAGUGUCUAUUCAAAUCAUUUAUGGGCCAGGCACGGUGGCUCAUGCCUGUAAUCCCAGCACUUUGGGAGGCCAGGGCGGGCAGAUCAUCUGAGGUUGGGAGUUCGAGACCAGCCUGACCAAUAUGAAGAAACCCAGGCAUGGUGGCACAUGCCUGUAAUCCCAGCUACUAGGGAGGCUGAGGCAGGAGAAUUGCUUGAACCUGGGAGGCAGAGGUUGCAGUGAGCCAAGAUCACACCACUGCAUUCCAGCCUGGGCAACAAGAGCGAAACUCCAUCUCAAAAAAAAAAAAAA
rnacentral:lncRNA from 1 species